rnacentral:lncRNA from 1 species
CAAAGUAGUUCCACACAGGCCAACAAUCUUAAUUCACUAAGAAAAAAGAAUGUCUAGAUUAGCGAUCUGGGGCAUUGGCGUAUACCAUAUAUAGCCGCCAGCAGCAAGGUUUCUCGUACAGAAAGCAAGUCCUCGAUUCUUUCUUCUCUAAUACCCCAAAUCUGUAAUUUGGUCUUCCAAUUCUUCUCCAAUAGACCCCAGCUGGCCUAAACGACAGUUGAUGGAUCAAAAUGCACACCCCGACAGGCCUGUGUUCUCCAAGUUCUGCUCGUUGGAUCCAAACCUGAAAUCGAUCUAGGUUUGUUAAAAUCAGUCGUUGCUCUUUCUUUUGACUACUUCGUUGCCAUGUAAUUGUUUCAAACGAAAAACUUUCUUUCCGUGUACUAAUUAAGAACAAGAAAAGCACCAUAUGAGAAUACAAAUUAUUUCCCAAUAAAGAACAUGUUUUGUGCCCAUUGACAAUUUUGAAUUCUAUUAGAUGCAUGGACAUAAACCGAUAUGCUUUCUUCGAUGUGUUCUUUUAGCUGAUCAAAAUUUUCUUGCAAAGAGUUAGGUGACUAUGGAUCAAGCUACGAGUUCAGUAAUUGUACUACAAAAAGAAAAGGACAUGAUGCUACUGUUGAAGGUAUUUCAUCAUGAAAACCUUGAGUAGUAAAUCUUAUUUUGCUGUAGAAUACUAAAUCUGAAUACUUGCUUUGACAUGGUAUUUUGUCAACAAAUUACAGAUGUGGCAAACUUAUGCUCAUAUUAUUAAGAAAUCGUCCAU